rnacentral:rRNA from 1 species
UACGUAGGGUGCAGGCGUUAUUCGGAAUUACUGGGCGUAAAGCGUGCGCAGGCGGUUUUCUAAGACAGGUGUGAAAUCCCCGGGCUUAACCUGGGAACUGCGCUUGUUACUGGCAGGCUUGAGUGUGGCAGAGGGGGGUGGAAUUCCACGUGUAGCAGUGAAAUGCGUAGAGAUGUGGAGGAACACCAGUGGCGAAGGCGACUCUUUGGCCUGUAACUGACGCUGAGGCGCGAAAGCGUGGGGAGCAAACAGG